rnacentral:misc_RNA from 1 species
UUUGGUGAUCACAACAGAAGAAGAUAUUAUGCAGUCUUUGCUCCUUUUUUCCCUCUGAACGGCUUCUAUUUAUGAAUGUUUAAUUGCAAUCACUAGUUUUUAAGGCAUAUAAAAAGAAACAGGGAUAUUCAUAAAUGGCUGAAGCGAAAGUUUUAUUUGAUUAUCAAGCAAGCCAGGAUGAUGAAUUAACAAUCAUUGUUGGGGAUAUCAUCAAGAAUGUAGUCAUGUCUGAUGGAGGCUGGUGGGAAGGUGAAAAAAAUGGCCAGAAGGGUCUAUUUCCAGAUAAUUUUGUAGAGAUUAUAAGCACUGGUAAGAACGACAACAGUAAUAGGUUUCAAAUAAGGAAAGGCCAUAUUACUGAAAUGGCAAACAAAAUUAAAGAUGGGAUCCAAAUUGGAGCCAUGAUGUCAAGCAAAAAAAUUUCAGUUGGAUCUAAAAAGAAAAAGCUUGCAAAAGUGCAAUUUGAAUACAUUCCUGAAGCAGAAGACGAACUGGAGCUUCACAUUGGAGAUGUUCUAGAAGUGUACCGUGAGGUUGAAGAAGGUUGGUGGGAAGGUCAACUAAAUGGUAAAGUUGGUAUGUUUCCUUCUAAUUUUGUUGAAAUCCGUGAAAAUCCAGAUGAAGAAGAAAGAGAAAAAAGUGUGAAAACAGAUGAACCUGAAAAGAAAGAUAGUAGCAUUGAUCCUGAAACUAAAGGAAAGAAAGUUAAAGGAGUUGGUUUUGGAAAUAUAUUUGGUAGUGGUCCAAUCAAGUUACGACCCUCAUCAGGUGUAUGGAAAGGUGAGACUGAAGAAAGCAAGGUUGAAAAAGUUUCUGGAAGUGCAUCAACUACAGUUAAAAAGAGCAAGCAAUUGGAAAUGGCUAUUGCUCGAUUCUCUUACCAUGCUGAGAAUGAAGAUGAAUUAACAUUAAAAGAAGGUGAUACCAUUACAAUUCUUAAAAAAGAUCUGGAAGAUGUUGGUUGGUGGAAAGGAGAACUUAAUGGCAGAAUUGGAGUAUUUCCUGACAACUUUGUUGAGAUAAUUCCUACUCAAGAGGAGGCUCCAAAAAUAAAGAAAACUUAUUCAACUUCUUCACAAGAUUCUUCUGUAUUGUCUUCACAAAACAAUAAAUCAACUCGAAGUAACAAUGAAUCCAACAAAGUUGACAAUAAACACAACAAUAACAAAGAUUCCCUUUUAGGAACCAAUGUACAAAGCAGUUUUAAAAGAAUUCGUGAUAAUGAUUCUGUUGAUAAAUCAUCACUACCUGCCCUGCCAACUAAAAAACCCUUUUUGCCACCUCCAGUUGGUAAAAAACCAGCACCUUUGAAAACUGAACUUUCAAAACAACCAACUAUCGACAACAAAGAUUUGAGCAAAUCAAAAGUUUCUGCUAAUGUAUCUGAAAAUAAAAACAAAGACACACACAAAGAAAAAGAUAGCCGAGAUAAAGGAUUUUCUGACUUUGAUAAUUUUGAAGUACCUGCAGCAGAGAAACUUGUACAUUUAACUGCCAACCGAGUAAAACAACCCAAAAAGCGUCCCCCAUCCCUAGUUUUUCUUCAUUCUGAAGAAGAAAAAACUGAAAUUAAAGAAACCAAAGAGAAAGAGCCAUUGCAAGGAGAGAAAAAACAACCUGCUGUUCCAACUGCUGCCACUUCUAUCAAAGCUACUAUUAGAACUGAAAACAAAGAAGUUUCAAAAUUUGAUUCAGUGCCAUCCCAUGUCGUAGCAGAAAGUCAUACUAAAGCAAAGUCGCCCAGUGGUACCACAAGUUUUGAAGUCUUGGCUCAAAAUGAAAUUGGAAGUAAUUUUACAUCUGAUGAAGUAAAAGAACUUAUUCUUGAGAUAAAAGAACUAAAAAAAGAGAUGGUAUCCAAAUCCUGUUAUGAUGAGCUCAAAGCAGACAAUGAACAGUUGCAUCAGGAGAUUGAGGCCCUAAAGAGUUCUUUUCAGCGAAGAUUUCGCAAUAUUGUUAAUGAGCUGGAUGAAGAAAAGAAAGUUCGUCUGAAUAUGCAAGUGGAAAUAGACAGGAUGAAAAUGUUAAUCUCUGAGUCUACGAUCUGAAAGUUGCUGACUGCAAUACCUGCUGUUUGGAGAAUGUAACAAAAUUAACCAUUUUCUUCUUCCAUAUUUCCCCCCCACCCAUACAGACAUUUGCCUUGUCUUUCAUCAUAAACAUUCAUAUUCAUAUAUAUAAUCCAUUUCCACUCACUCUUAUUAUAUGGUCUUAUUUUUUAUUUUGAUUUCAAAGUAAUUGGAAAUGUAAAUUGUACUUAUCGUUUAAAAACUUUCUCAGUAUCCUAUAUGGUGCUAAGGGCAUUAUUAGGAUUGCAAUCCAAAAAAGAACCAAUUUACAACAUUUUCUAUUUGUUGUAGAAAUAUUUCAUAAGCCCAUAGACUUGUACAUAGUUAAAUAUUAUGGGCUGCCUACCUGACUUGUUAGUGUAGAAACCAAAAAAUAUAAAAAAGAAAAACAUUAGUGAUGCGGUGACAAUAUACUUAACAGCAAAUAUUGUGAAUGCUAAAUACAUUUCUGUAAAAAAUUGUUCUUCAACAAUUAUUUUGUAUUUCUAUUAAAUGUUAAGUCAAUCAAUUCACAAUUAUCUGCUGAUAAAGUUAAUAAUUUGGGGGCAACAGCACUAUAUCAUUCUCUCUCUCUCUCUCUCUUGCUCUCUCUCUCUCUCUCUCCUUCACCAGGUAUUACUGCAUCCAGUUGUUCUUUACUUACCAUCUUGUAACCAAUGAAUAAAGACCUAAAAAAGCAGUUGACAGCUGUAUCUUAGUAGUUAAGAGAGAAAUACUAAUUAAAUGACUAUUCUCUGUAACAAAGAUUGAAAUAGAAUAUUGGAUUUUUAGAUUUUAUUUCUAUAAAUUUGUUGUUAAAAUCUCAGUAUUUUGUAAGUUUACUUAUUUUUCAUUUAUUUCUUUAUGUUCCUUAGCUACAUUGCUUCAGGUAAUUAACAAUAGUUUUUCUUCAUCAAAUAUGGUCAACAGUUUAUUUAAGAUUUUUAGAAAUGGUUUACGAUAGAAGAAUAGUUUACUUCCCUAAUAAUCACCCCUGAAUAAGAUUGAAGUUUUAAUAUAUUUUCUAUAAAUAUCAGCAUUCAUUGCAUGUUGCUCUCUAAAAGAACACUUAUUAAUCUCAGUACAUAAUUGAAGUACCUUUUGUCUUAAUGCUUGACAUUCCUCAUUUAUUCUAUCAAUAUGUUUUUUUUAAAUUUUAUAUGUGAAUAAUGCCAAGGGUUGGCUCAUUGGUAACAAAAUUAGCUAAAUGUAACAUUUUGUUGCAAUUAGUAACAUUUUAUUGUAAAUGCUGUUUGAGCAACUCUUGUCAAUGGAUCAGCAUAGCAUUGUUUUCUUAUCUGAAACGAAACAAUUAGUAACUAUUAAUAUGUAUGGCUGUUGUAAUUAAAGUUGAUUGUAAUAUUUAGUUUUAGAAUAGCCAUUGCUUGCCAUCAUUUUCUUUUCUUGUGAAUGAUAAAAUAUAUCUGAAAGAUGACAUUGGUUUUGAAAAUUCAAUUCUGUGUUUACUUAUGAACUCAUUGAUUUAUUAUAGAUAGAAUUUUAAUUUCAUCUCAACAAACCCUCAAGUUUAAAAGCUUAGUGAUAUUAUCCAACUGUAUAUUUCAAAUUAGAUCAAAUACCAAACAUGUUUUCAAAUAUGUUAUACUGAGUAAUUUUAAGAAAUCAACUUUAUAUUAAAUUUGUUAGACAUAAUUAUUUUACUGCAUUAUUCGAGGAAAUCACCUAUUGAUUGCCUUUCUCAUCAUGAAAUGAAAAAAGUUUUCAAUGAAACGUUAAAUUUCAUAAUAGAACAUGCAGUGCUGCUUCAAUUAUUCAUAAAAAUUAAAAUGUAUUAAAGUUAUUUAACUCAAAAAUUAACCUAUUGAAAGCCUAAGAUUAUGUUUAUAAAAUUCUGUCUUUCAAUUUUUGUUGGAAGAAUUCAUUUAUACAACUUUUUAGAAGCAUAAUUUCAGCAUAUAUAAAUUUUCAGGAAUAUUCUUAUAUUCCACUCAUAAACCUGUCCAACAAUUUUUGUUGUUUUUAUUUUGUUGGUGAUUUUUCUUUUGCCAUUUUCAUUCUUCUGCAUUAAUAGAAAUAAAACACAAAUAUUGUAAUAUAUUCUUGAAAAGCCAACUAAAUUAUGACAACAAUAAACUUGAAAUGGUAUCCUAUUAGUCUGUUGUGGUAUUUGCACUUUGAACUGUUAAUUGAAAGCUAAUUAAGAUAUGACUUGGGGGCUUUUAAAUGUAAAAUCUACUAAUCCUACUAUCCUGGGGAGUGUUGAUGGGCCCCUGUCAACUUCACAUGUGAUAUGUCACAAAGUUUAUUGAUCAAGACUCCAGUAUGUUUCAAUGCUGUUUCCAUUGUGAAUUUACAGUCUCAAACAAAAGAGAAUUUGCUUAGAGAUAUUGAGCAGGUCAAGACAUUUCAUAGCUGCUCAUCAUCAUCAUCAUCAUUAUUUAACGUCUGCUUCCCAUGCUAGCAUGGGUUGGACAAAUUCUGUGUGUAUGCAUGAGAGAGAGAGAGAGAGAUUUGUAAUCUAAGUCUAGAGGCUUAACUUCUUAAUCAUAUUUUACUGACUUUCAAAGUGCUUAAUAUCAUAAGAUGUUAAAAGCUGGAUCCCAUUCAUUCCCUUCAUUCUUUAUUAGUAUUUUAUACUAUUAACCUUUUCUUGUAACAUUAGUUCUUUUUUUUUUUUUUUAUUAAAAUAUAAAAGAAAACUUAUCUGAUUUCUGACAACCAAAUUACUUACAGUCUCUAUUCAAGGAGUCUUUAGUCACCAAAUUUUCACUUGACAACACUUUCUUUAGUGUAAUUUAUUAUUAUAUAUGUAUAUAAUUUAUAGAAUUGUUAAAGAAUUAAAAUAAAGAAUUUGUUAGGAUACAGUUUGCUGCUUUAUAUUUUGUAACAUUGAUUCUUUCAAAAAUGUUUCCAUUUCAAAGAUUUACAAUUUCUGUUUAAUUGUAAACCAAUUAACUAAGAACUCUGGCGGGAUAUUGGAAGGAGGGGGAGGAGGAGCUUAUUCAAAAGAGCAUCUAUAGUUUAUAUCUGCCGUGGCUCAACUAAUAAUGAUUAUAAUAAAUAGUUACAAUAACUUAUUCUAGUAAAUACUUUAGAGCAAAAGGUCUGCUCUCAACAAGGUGAGACUCCAAAGCCCUUUCAAUUCUUGAUCAAAGCAAUGUAGUUCACUGAAUCUGUUGGUUCUCUUCAGAAAAUGCACCUUUGUAAAAUAUUUGCUCAAUGUAAAAGAUAUGAACCUUAAUUAUCACGAGCUGAUUGAAUGCCUUUCAAUAUUUCAUUCUUCUGUGUUCUGAAUUGACUUUCCUUUCCUUGCAUCUAGGCUUGAUGAAUACCAAUCAUGGUUUAUUGUCAUCACUCAUAUCGUUACUUAAUUAAUUCAGCAAGCUAAGAUGUGGGUUCUUUUCUUGAAGUUAAUUUACCAAUUCUACAUAAUUUUAAUGAAUAUAUCAUUAUAGCAUUUAUCAAAACAGGUUGGUUUGUUUUUAUCUCUUUGUUAAAUACACAAAGUAUAUUAUUGAAACUGUUAUAGCUUAUUGAUUUUUUCUAAUUUGCAGUAUAAAGUCAGUAACGAUAUAAUCAUUAAAAUCUUUGUUUUUAAUACAAAGAUUGUCAGUUAUCUGCAAGAAGAAAACCUUUUUUUUUAAUUUAAAGAAAACUAAUUUGUUUUGAAACACAGAGAAAAAUUCUUAAUGCUACAUAUUUUCUCUAUUGUCCUCUCAAAGAUUAAAUAUAAUAUUGUUUAAAGCAAAAACCUUAUUUUGCAAUGCAGUAAUUCUGCUUUUUAUUAAAGUUAUGUAAUUUACAAUGCUGAAAAGAGUUUUUGACUGGGGCAGGGCUGGGGGCCGUCAUCCCCCCAUCCCCACUACCGUCUACCUGUGUAGUUUACAAAAGUUUAUUUCGUUCAUCCAUCUCUCUCUCUCUCUCUCUCUCUCUCUCUCUCUCUCUCUCUCUCUCUCUCUCCCUUUUCUUAUUGCACUGCAUUAAUAGAAAUAACUCUACCUCUAAAUUGGGACUGAAUAUGCAUGACAAAGUCUUUUAUUAAAAUCUGUUAAUAAACCUGCAAAAUGAUCAAUUCUUUUGAAAGUAAAAGACUUGAUGAAGUCAUGUAUAUCAGUUUGUUUAAUAGAAUAAUAUAUUCUACCACUUAUUGUAAUUGACAUCACAAUUCAAAAAGAACAUAGAAUGGUUUGGGUUAUAAUUUUUUUUUUAAAUAAGCAUUCCUGAUUUUAUAUAUAUAUAUAUGUAUAUAUAUAUAUAUAUAUAUUAGUCUCAAUGAACUGAAAAUAAUUUGUUCAUGUAGACAACAAUGAUGUUUGUGUGAAUUUAGUUUUAUUCCCUUUUCUGAUCAACAACUUCUGUGAAGUUGUUCUCAUCAUAAUUUAUCUUCUUGUUAUUAUCUCCUUUAACCAAUUGUAUGCUUCAUAUAUCAAAUCCAAAAAUUCUAUAAUUAUUAGAAUCUCUGGAGAGACGUGUCUUGUAACCACAUAGCAUGGACUAAUUUUUUAACUGAAGUGCUGGAUUUGUCAAUGUAGUUUGCCUACAUCCCAUCAUUAGAUCACUAAUGUAAUGUGUCUUUGAAUAAAAUCAAAUUCAAUAAUGUA